rnacentral:rRNA from 1 species
GACGAACGCUGGCGGCGCGCCUAACACAUGCAAGUCGAACGAGAGAUGAGGAGCUUGCUCUUCAGAUCGAGUGGCGAACGGGUGAGUAACGCGUGAGGAACCUGCCUCAAAGAGGGGGACAACAGUUGGAAACGACUGCUAAUACCGCAUAAGCCCACGGCUCGGCAUCGAGCAGGGGGAAAAGGAGCAAUCCGCUUUGAGAUGGCCUCGCGUCCGAUUAGCUAGUUGGUGAGGUAACAGCCCACAAGGCGACGAUCGGUAGCCGGACUGAGAGGUUGAACGGCCACAUUGGGACUGAGACACGGCCCAGACUCCUACGGGAGCAGCAGUGGGGAAUAUUGCACAAUGGGGAAACCCUGAUGCAGCGACGCCGCGUGGAGGAAGAAGGUCUUCGGAAUUGUAAAACU